rnacentral:tRNA from 1 species
GGGGGAAUAGCUCAAUGGUAGAGCAUUUGGCUAUCAAGCAUGAUGCUCUAGCUUCUAUUCCUAGCACCACCA